GCUGGGUGUGGUGGCGCAUGCCUGUAAUCCCAGCUACUCGGGAGGCUGAGGCAGGAGAAUCGCUGGAUCCUGGGAGGCAGAGGCUGCAGUGAGCCAAGAUUGUGCCACUGCACUCCAGCCUGGGCAACAGAGUGAGACUCUGUCUCAA
rnacentral:SRP_RNA from 1 species